rnacentral:lncRNA from 1 species
UUAUUAAAGAAUUAACAUACGAUUCCGACCGUCACUAGCGCAAGCUGUAAAAAGAUUUGAUGUUUAGUAUCUGAUGUUCCAUGCAAGUUCGAAGUCUAAUUGUUUAACAUUUUCAGCUAAGUUUUUGGUAUCUGUAGAGCAGAUGUAUUAAAUUUGAUUGGUGUUUGUAUGUUUAAUCAGAAUUUAGAUUAUUGCACUUGAUUAGCGUUUGUAUGUUUAAUUAGAUUUGGAUUCAAUUCGACUAUGCUGUAAAGUAUGAUGUUGUUUGAUGAAGUAUUAUUUGAAUAGUA